AUUGAACGCUGGCGGCAUGCCUAACACAUGCAAGUCGAACGGCAGCACGGGAGCUUGCUCCUGGUGGCGAGUGGCGGACGGGUGAGUAAUGCAUAGGAAUCUGCCCAGUAGCGGGGGACAACUUGGGGAAACUCAAGCUAAUACCGCAUGCGCCCUACGGGGGAAAGCGGGGGACCUUCGGGCCUCGCACUAUUGGAUGAGCCUAUGUCAGAUUAGCUUGUUGGUGGGUAACGGCCUACCAAGGCGACGAUCUGUAGCUGGUCUGAGAGGACGAUCAGCCACACUGGGACUGAGACACGGCCCAGACUCCUACGGGAGCAGCAGUGGGGAAUAUUGCACAAUGGGCGAAAGCCUGAUGCAGCAAUGCCGCGUGUGUGAAGAAGGCCUGCGGGUUGUAAAGCACUUUCAGUAGGGAGGAAACAGUAGCCGGUUAAUAUCCGGUUGCCUUGACGUUACCUACAGAAGAAGC
rnacentral:rRNA from 1 species